CAGUAGCCGCGGGAAUACGGAGGGUGCAAGCGUUAAUCGGAAUUACUGGGCGUAAAGCGCACGCAGGCGGUCUGUCAAGUCAGAUGUGAAAUCCCCGGGCUUAACCUGGGAACUGCAUUUGAAACUGGCAGGCUAGAGUCUUGUAGAGGGGGGUAGAAUUCCAGGUGUAGCGGUGAAAUGCGUAGAGAUCUGGAGGAAUACCGGUGGCGAAGGCGACCCCCUGGACAAAGACUGACGCUCAGGUGCGAAGGCGUGGGGAGCAAACAGGAUUAGAUACCCGUGUAGUCCCUGUCUCUUAUAC
rnacentral:rRNA from 1 species